rnacentral:rRNA from 2 species
UACGGAGGAUGCGAGCGUUAUCCGGAUUUAUUGGGUUUAAAGGGUGCGUAGGCGGAUCGAUAAGUCAGUGGUGAAACCCUGCAGCUUAACUGUAGACUUGCCGUUGAUACUGUUGGUCUUGAGUGUGGUCAAGGUAGGCGGAAUGUGUAAUGUAGCGGUGAAAUGCUUAGAUAUUACACAGAACACCGAUUGCGAAGGCAGCUUACUGGGCCAUUACUGACGCUGAUGCACGAAAGCGUGGGGAUCGAACAGGAUUAGAUACCCUGGUAGUCCACGCCGUAAACGAUGAUCACUCGCUGUUGGCGAUACACAGUCAGCGGCUAAGCAAAAGCAUUAAGUGAUCCACCUGGGGAGUACGGCCGCAAGGCUGAA